rnacentral:rRNA from 1 species
GACGGAGGGUGCAAGCGUUGCUCGGAAUCACUGGGCGUAAAGGGCGCGUAGGCGGUCUCGCAAGUCUGGCGUGAAAGCCCAAGGCUCAGCCUUGGAAGUGCGCUCGAAACGGCGAGGCUGGAGUGCCGGAGGGGAGAGUGGAAUUCCCGGUGUAGCGGUGAAAUGCGUAGAGAUCUGGAGGAACACCGAUGGCGAAGGCAGCCUUCUGGGCCAACACUGACGCUCAUGCACGAAAGCGUGGGGAGCAAACAGG